rnacentral:miRNA from 1 species
CCAGUCCUGUGCCUGCCGCCU